rnacentral:lncRNA from 1 species
CUCCCGGCUUCACCUGUGGUGUAGGGAAUCCGUCCAGAGUGACCUCCGAGGCUGCUGUCGGUGUGUGCGUGUGUGCGUGCGGGUCACUGCCAGGGUUGGCUUUUAGGCCAAAGAGGCUCUUUGAAUCAGGUCCAGUAUAAAUUUACUCCUAAUGAUUUCAAACCCAUCAGUAAAAUAUGAAGAUGCUGUGGAACCUGUGUGUACCACGAUGAGGGGCUUGGCAGCCUGUGGGAGCUGUAUGGGGUGCAGGGCAGUGCAUGAAGCUGGAGCCCAAGAGGCAGUGAUGCCGGGAAUGCAGGACCCUGGGUACAUGAGUUGGGCUUAGGGUUUCAGUCUGUACCUGUAAAAUGAGAAAAUGAAUUAAAUGUCUCAAAUAUCUACACA